AAGUAGACACAUAAGAAGGAG
rnacentral:miRNA from 1 species